rnacentral:tRNA from 1 species
GGAGAGAUGGCUCAGCGGUUAAGAGCACUGGCUGCUCUUCCAGUGGUCUUGGGUUCAAUUCCCAACACCC